CCCACCCCUGGUCCCUGGAAUCGAGUCCUCCAGGCCUCCCCUCACCUCCCCUGACUUCAGCCUCUUUCUCCACGUGGCACCAGUUCUCUUCCUGGAAAUAGGAAACCUGGGGUCCUGGCCCACGGCCGGCAUUCCAGCCUCCCCCUGCCCCCCCCAGAUUCCCAUCUUCUAAAGCGCAGCUGCCAGACACCACACAGCCGGCCUCCCCCUGGGGACGCCCAGCACCAAGGCCACUUGCCACUGCUGUGGGGGUGACAAGGGCACAGACCCUGCCCCCACCCCAAGACAGAGUUGCUGCUGUGAUGCGUGGGUUUCUGGGGUGCAGGAGCCCUCGUGGUCUCACCCAUGCAUGGUUCCCCCACGCCCAAGUUCCCUGGAGGUGUCACAUGUGUCCCUGAGCAGUUCUUUGGUUCUCUGCACCGCCAGUCUCUCAGUGGUUUCGUGUGACUCGCCUAGGGGCUGGUCCCCGUCCUUGGAUCUCCCCCUGUUGAGGACUUUCCUCCCCAGCCCUGCCUCCGGACCUGGAGAGGUGGGAGGCAGGCCCUGCCAACACGUCUGCGGCCCAGUCCCUUCCGCUCCCUGCACCCCGUGUCCGCCGGUCUUCUUUUCCUGCUCUGUCCUCCCCUCCUCACCUGGGCCCCUGGCCUGGGAAGGCCCCUUCCUCCCAGCCAGGCCUCCCCCUCUGUGGCCUCGGGCGCCUGAGCCCCUCCUCAGCCCCCACCAUCGGUCUCGGCCUUCCUGGAGACCAGAGGCACGUGGGGCGGCCAGCAGCUCCGCCUCCGGAGCUUUGGCCGUGGCCCCCUCGCCCCUUCUAGAAGUUUUUGCACAGAACUUCAUUUUGGAAAGUGUUUUUCUCAUUCUCCAUACCUCCCCCAAACUCCUCCAGCCCUUCCCCCGGCGCAGCCCUGCCGUCCAGAGCGUCCCCAGGGCUGUGCUGUUCACUCGGCCGGAGAAAGGGGCAGGGUGGGAGGGACUGAGAGGAUGUUGGGUUUUUCAUUCAAUAAACUGGUGAUUUCUUACCAACGAG
ensembl:lncRNA